GCCGGAGGAUUUCCGGAGCAGCAGCAGCAGCAGUAGGCAGUCAGUUCCCGAUCAGAUCAGCAGCUACUUCGAGGUGAGUUACCUUCCAGUAGCGGUGGGUCUACGGCCACAAUGCCGGCCCACCAGUAGGAGUUGUAUGUUAGAUGAUUGUCUUUGUGAUAUCAUCUAGGUUUGCUACUACCUGAUAUGUUGUAUGCUGGCAUGAUAUGUAUAUGUGAUAGUUGUAGAGUUCGGUUGUUAGGACCGAAGGGUAGGUCGGACACCCCAGAUAUGUCUGACAGUACGUGAUGAUAUGAUUGCAUGCUGGCUUGUUAUGUUAUAUGAGAUAAAGGUAGUAAGAGGGGACUAGUCCCCGAGGAUCGGUUGUUAGGACCGAUGGGUAGUCAGCACCCCAGAAUGGCUUGACAUGGGUAGUCAGCACCCCAGAAUGGCUUGACACGGGUAGGACGGCACCCCAGAAUGGCCGUACCGGGUAGUCAGGCACCCCAGAAUAGCCUGGCAGUAUGUAUGUUAUGUGUUUGUAUGGUAUGUGGUACGAUGGGGGAACUCACUAAGCUUUGUGCUUACAGUUUUCAGUUUUGGUUUCAGGUACCUCCUCAGCUAGGGGAAAGGAGUCGGCGCGGUAGCAGCAUGUCACACACACACACUCUCUGGUUUCCGCAUUUACGAGAUUCUCUGGGAUUUAUACUCUGAUAUUUUGAUUGGUUGUAAGAUUUGGCUUUUAGACAUGGUUU
rnacentral:lncRNA from 1 species